GGGCCCAUAGCUCAGUUGGUUAGAGCAGGGGACUCAUAAUCCCUUGGUCCUAGGUUCGAGUCCUAGUGGGCCCA
rfam:Gammaproteobacteria bacterium RIFCSPHIGHO2_12_FTLL_38_14 rifcsphigho2_12_scaffold_1458, whole genome shotgun sequence.